rnacentral:rRNA from 1 species
UGGGGAAUUUUGGACAAUGGGCGAAAGCCUGAUCCAGCAAUGCCGCGUGUGUGAAGAAGGCCUUCGGGUUGUAAAGCACUUUUGUCCGGAAAGAAAUCCUUGGCUCUAAUACAGUCGGGGGAUGACGGUACCGGAAGAAUAAGCACCGGCUAACUACGUGCCAGCAGCCGCGGUAAUACGUAGGGUGCAAGCGUUAAUCGGAAUUACUGGGCGUAAAGCGUGCGCAGGCGGUUUGCUAAGACCGAUGUGAAAUCCCCGGGCUCAACCUGGGAACUGCAUUGGUGACUGGCAGGCUAGAGUAUGGCAGAGGGGGGUUAGAAUUCCACGUGUAGCAGUGAAAUGCGUAGAGAUGUGGAGGAAUACCGAUGGCGAAGGCAGCCCCCCUGGGCCAAUACUGACGCUCAUGCACGAAAGCGUGGGGAGCAAAGCAGGAUUAGAUACCCCUGGUAGUCCACGCCCCUAAAACGAUAUCAACUAGUUGUUGGGGGAUUCAUUUCCUUAGUAACGUAGCUAACGCGUGAAGUUGACCGCCUGGGGAGUACGGUCGCAAGAUUAAAACUUAAAGGAAUUGACGGGG